GAUGAAGAACGUAGCGAAAUGCGAUAAGUAGUGUGAAUUGCAGAAUUCAGUGAAUCAUCGAAUCUUUGAACGCACAUUGCGCCCCCUGGUAUUCCGGGGGGCAUGCCUGUCCGAGCGUCAUUACAACCCUCAAGCUCAGCUUGGUAUUGGGCCCCGCCGACCCGGCGGGCCCUAAAGUCAGUGGCGGUGCCGUCCGGCUCCGAGCGUAGUAAUUCUUCUCGCUCUGGAGGUCCGGUCGUGUGCUCGCCAGCAACCCCCAAUUUUUUUCAGGUUGACCUCGGAUCAGGUAGGGAUACCCGCUGAACUUAAGCAUAUCAAUAAGCGGAGGA
rnacentral:misc_RNA from 1 species